GACGAACGCUGGCGGCGUGCCUAAUACAUGCAAGUCGAGCGGACCAAAGGGAGCUUGCUCCUGGAGGUUAGCGGCGAACGGGUGAGUAACACGUGGGCAACCUGCCUGUAAGACUGGGAUAACAUCGAGAAAUCGGUGCUAAUACCGGAUAAUAAAAAGAACUGCAUGGUUCUUUUUGAAAGAUGGUUUCGGCUAUCACUUACAGAUGGGCCCGCGGCGCAUUAGCUAGUUGGUGAGGUAACGGCUCACCAAGGCGACGAUGCGUAGCCGACCUGAGAGGGUGAUCGGCCACACUGGGACUGAGACACGGCCCAGACUCCUACGGGAGGCAGCAGUAGGGAAUCUUCCGCAAUGGACGAAAGUCUGACGGAGCAACGCCGCGUGAGUGAUGAAGGUUUUCGGAUCGUAAAACUCUGUUGUUAGGGAAGAACAAGUGCCGUUCGAAAGGGCGGCACCUUGACGGUACCUAACGAGAAAGCCACGGCUAACUACGUGCCAGCAGCCGCGGUAAAGUC
rnacentral:rRNA from 1 species